rnacentral:rRNA from 1 species
CAUACUGCCGUGAAUACGUUCCCGGGCCCUUGUACACACCGCCCGUCACACCAUGAGAGUUGGAGAUACCCGAAGCCUAUGAGCUAACUUUUAGAGGCAGUAGUCGAAGGUAGAAUCAAUGAUUGGGGUGAAGUCGUAACAAGGUAGC